UUUUCAGUGUCGCAGCAAAAGCGUUAAGCACACCGCCUGGGGAGUACGACCGCAAGGUUAAAACUCAAAUGAAUUGACGGGGACCCGCACAAGUAGUGGAGCAUGUGGUUUAAUUCGAAGAUACGCGCAGAACCUUACCAACACUUGACAUGUUCGUCGCGACUCUAAGAGAUUAGAGUUUUCGGUUCGGCCGGACGAAACACAGGUGCUGCAUGGCUGUCGUCAGCUCGUGUCGUGAGAUGUUGGGUUAAGUCCCGCAACGAGCGCAACCCUUACUUUUAGUUGCUACCAUUUAGUUGGGCACUCUAAAAGAACUGCCAGUGAUAAGCUGGAGGAAGGUGGGGAUGACGUCAAGUCCUCAUGGCCCUUAUGUGUUGGGCUACACACGUGCUACAAUGGUAUUUACAGUGGGAUGCAAAGAGGCAACUCCAAGCAAACCCUCAAAAAAUACCUCAGUUCGGAUUGUACUCUGCAACUCGAGUACAUGAAGCUGGAAUUACUAGUAAUCGCGGAUCAGCGCGCCGCGGUGAAUACGUUCCCGGGUCUUGUACACACCGCCCGUCACACCAUGGAAGUUGGUUACACCUUAAGGCAAAGUGUAAAAUCUUUGACUACGGUACGAUCAGCGACUGGGGUGAAGUCGUAACAAGGUAGCCGUAGGGGAACCUGCGGCUGGAUCACCUCCUU
rnacentral:rRNA from 1 species